GAUCAUGGCUCAGAUUGAACGCUGGCGGAAUGCUUUACACAUGCAAGUCGAACGGGUAGAGGGGGCAACCCCUUGAGAGUGGCGAACGGGUGAGUAAUAUAUCGGAACGUGCCCAGUCGUGGGGGAUAACGUAGCGAAAGUUACGCUAAUACCGCAUACGAUCUAAGGAUGAAAGCGGGGGACCUGUAAGGGCCUCGCGCGAUUGGAGCGGCCGAUAUCAGAUUAGGUAGUUGGUGGGGUAAAGGCUCACCAAGCCAACGAUCUGUAGCUGGUCUGAGAGGACGACCAGCCACACUGGAACUGAGACACGGUCCAGACUCCUACGGGAGGCAGCAGUGGGGAAUUUUGGACAAUGGGCGCAAGCCUGAUCCAGCAAUGCCGCGUGCAGGAAGAAGGCCUUCGGGUUGUAAACUGCUUUUGUACGGAACGAAAAGGCUCUGGUUAAUACCUGGGGCUCAUGACGGUACCGUAAGAAUAAGCACCGGCUAACUACGUG
rnacentral:rRNA from 1 species